rnacentral:rRNA from 1 species
CCUACGGGCGGCAGCAGUGGGGAAUAUUGCGCAAUGGGCGAAAGCCUGACGCAGCGACGCCGCGUGAGGGAUGAAGGUCUUCGGAUCGUAAACCUCUGUCAGCAGGGAAGAACGGUCACUUUGCUAAUCAGCAGUGCAUUGACGGUACCUGCCAAGGAAGCACCGACUAACUCCGUGCCAGCAGCCGCGGUAAUCCGGAGGGUGCGAGCGUUAAUCGGAAUUACUGGGCGUAAAGCGCUCGUAGGCGGUAUGUCAAGUCAAGGGUGACAUCCCCGCGCUCAACGUGGGAACUGCCUUUGAAACUGGCAAACUGGAGUGUGGGAGAGGAGAGUGGAAUUCCAGGUGUAGGAGUGAAAUCCGUAGAUAUCUGGAGGAACAUCAGUGGCGAAGGCGACUAUCUGGAACAUAACUGACGCUGAGGAGCGAAAGCGUGGGUAGCAAACAGGAUUAGAUACCCUAGUAGUC